GACGAACGCUGGCGGCGUGCUUAACACAUGCAAGUCGAACGAAGUGGCGAACGGGUGAGUAACGCGUAAUCACCCUGCCCUUCAGAGGGGGACAACAGGUGGAAACGACUGCUAAUACGGCAUACUGAAGGAGGGGAUUGCGUCUGAUUGGGUAGGUGGGGGGGGAACGGCCCACCAAAGCGGUGAUCAGUAACCGGGUUGGGGGGAUGGACCGCCAAAAUGGGACUGGAGCCAGGCCCAGGCUCCUACGGGAGGGAGCAGGGGGGAAAUUUCCGCAAUGGGCGAAAGUCUUACGGCGCAACGCCGCGGGAGUGAUUACGGCCUUCGGGUUGUAAAGCUCUGUUAAUCGGGACGCGGUACCGGAAUAGAAAGCCACGGCUAACUACGUGCCAGCAGCCGCGGUAAUAC
rnacentral:rRNA from 1 species